UUCGGCAACCGUCACGCCUACAAACCGGAACCAAGUGAGGAGAUAUUGGUGUAAUUAUUAUGGCCACUCCACGUAGCUAAAAGGAGAUUUAUUUAGUGGCGUAACUUACAAGUUAAGGGAUCGGUAGGUCGCGGGGUCUGGGGAAGGUGUAUCGCAGUCCAGCGGUGUUCUCUGGAGCUCUGCUUGGCCCACCUUCACCGUCCAAGGUCCCGGAACCAAGUGAGAGCACCGCCCAUCCAGAUCUCAGGUCUCCAGGCGCCUCCCUUGGCCCCGCCUUGUAGGCGUGACGGUUGCGGAAGUCUCCAUGGGGGUUGAAACUUCAGAUCAAAGCUGGAAUGGCUACCCACUACAGGUGACUUCUGAGAAAGGGUCAUUCAUCCCCCAAAGGUGUUGAGAACCACUGACCCAGCCUAGAGCCUUCAUCUCUAUUGAUGAAUUUCACAGUACUGGAAGAUAUGUCUAUGCUAUCAAAGGAGAAAGGGCUCAGGGAACUAUGCAGAAGAGGAGUUGGAAAGAAUACAAGAGUCAGAGAGGAUAGAGACAGACCUUCUAAACACAGAAUGGCUGAGGAGCACGUGAACUCAGACAGACUGUGGCAGCGUGCACAAGGCCUGCACAGGUCAACACCAGAUAGGAUCCUAGAGCUGAGAGAAGAGGACACAUGCCGCCACCCCUAACCCAGAAGUUAUCUCCAGUUGACAAUUACUUAAAAAUGAAAAAAAUAGUUUUCCUCAAUAGAAUCUCCCUGGGGAAACAAGGGUAGGCUCCAUGUCCAGCAGUAGACGAUCAACACAAAAUAAAUUCAGUGCCAUCUUUGGGGUUUCUUAGUUUCA